rnacentral:rRNA from 1 species
CAGUAGCCGCGGGAAUACGUAGGUCCCGAGCGUUGUCCGGAUUUAUUGGGCGUAAAGCGAGCGCAGGCGGUUAGAUAAGUCUGAAGUUAAAGGCUGUGGCUUAACCAUAGUACGCUUUGGAAACUGUUUAACUUGAGUGCAAGAGGGGAGAGUGGAAUUCCUUGUGUAGCGGUGAAAUGCGUAGAUAUAUGGAGGAACACCGGUGGCGAAAGCGGCUCUCUGGCUUGUAACUGACGCUGAGGCUCGAAAGCGUGGGGAGCAAACAGGAUUAGAUACCCCGGUAGUCCCUGUCUCUUAUACA